UCCUUGUCGAGUCCCAGACAUCCAGACACAUACACCGUCCGAUCGGCGACCACAGCUUGACUAUAUAAUGUAAACAACAAUUAAGUAGAAGAUUUUCGGAAAUUUGGGUCGCACCCGCUUUCUCUAGCUGGCGGAGUUUUUUGGCCAGCCGAUAUUUGAUUUAACGCCAUGAAAAAUGCAUGCCAUGUCACUUAGCCACGCCCAUCUGCGCCGCCCCGACUAAUUAUUUAUUAUUUGGCAAUUGCUGUCUGUCAGUCGCUGUCAGCCGGGCCAAAAAGGUAAAAAGAAAGCCCAGCCGCAGAGUUCCCGUUUCAGAAUCUUUACGCAUGCUAAAAAAUAUAUACCGAAAAAAGAAGAAAACACUCUGUAAUUAUGUGGAGAAGAUGGGGAUCCUGAAAUGUGGCAAAGGGUCUUAAUCCCGGACUGAAAGCUGCACCCAACUGCAGCAACCAGCGUAGGUGCAACCUCAGAGCAAAGAGAACACGCCCAGCAAAACGCCGCCUUAAGAUUGAUUGCAGACGCUUUGUUGUUUCCUUGGCCAAAACAGUGAAAGAAAAAUAUUUAAUAUAUUUUUACCUGAACAGAAUCUAAUUUAUAAUAUUUAUUUAUUUUUAACAGAGAGGAUCUGAUGGUUUAAUGAAACUUAAGGCAAUUACUCAAUGUUGUUGGUUAGUUUAAUUUUUUUGGCUAUAUGCUUUUUAAUUUUUAAACACAAUAAAACAUCAGUAUCAGA